rnacentral:rRNA from 1 species
GUCAAAGCGUUCAUUAAAGUCGAGUUGGCUUAGGGAUACGUUCGUUGGGUAGGGGAGCGUUCUGUAAGCCUGUGAAGGUGUGUCGUGAGGCAUGCUGGAGGUAUCAGAAGUGCGAAUGCUGACAUAAGUAACGAUAAAGCGGGUGAAAAGCCCGCUCGCCGGAAGACCAAGGGUUCCUGUCCAACGUUAAUCGGGGCAGGGUGAGUCGACCCCUAAGGCGAGGCCGAAAGGCGUAGUCGAUGGGAAACGGGUUAAUAUUCCCGUACUUGGUGUUACUGCGAAGGGGGGACGGAGAAGGCUAUGUUGGCCGGGCGACGGUUGUCCCGGUUUAAGCGUGUAGGUGUGUGUUCCAGGUAAAUCCGGUUCACUUUAACACUGAGGCGUGAUGACGAGGCACUACGGUG